UGAAGUGAAGAGUUGACAACUUAACCUGAUAAGUCGUUAACUUCAUGAUAGGCUGUCAAAUCAGGUCGUCACCUGUAAGCAGCAAACAUGAAUUCAAAAGAUGAGUUGAUGACUUGGUCUGAUAGGUCGUCAACUCUCAGAUAAGCCGUCAGAGAAGGUCGUCAGCUAUGCGUGAAAAAUCUGGGAUUUGAAAUUUGACUCCAAAAUUAGCUUGAGUAUUUAAGGCAAAGUGUUAGGUUUUCAUA
rnacentral:lncRNA from 1 species